rnacentral:lncRNA from 1 species
UCUUUAUUUAGUCGCUGUUACCCAUCUGUGGAUAUUAUGCGGGGAAAUGGAAAGAAAAAAAACACGGCUUCCUAUUCAUUGUCUGUCGUCAUCGCUGCCUUCACACCCUCCAGCGCUGGGGAGCGGGCAGCUCUGAGUAAUUCCCCAGACACUGCCCAGAGCCUUCCACCCGAGGAGUCAGCCUCUUAGGACUCUCCAGUUACCCAAACCCGCUUCCUUCCAGGUUCCUCUCCUGCAGAUGAUCCUACAUUAUUGCACACUGCAGAUUUCUGAUGUCUUUAGGAACGUGAAAUGGUAUCACGGUUUCACAUUUUUCCCAGACCUUCGUGGGUGUGUGUGUGUGUGUGUGUGUGUGCGCGCGCGCCUGCGCGCGCGCCCCACUAUUGCAGUACCCUCCCCACCUUAUUCAUCCUAAAGAAAAAUACUGAGUCCAAUACUUGUGAUAUUCAGGCCAAUCAUGCUGGCAAUUUCUCUUUUAGAGCCAUCGGAACCUGAGGAAUUUACGAUCAUCCAUGCAGGGUGACCUGAAGCCUGGAGAUCCACAAAACCGGAGGCAGUGUGUGAAAAUUCGUUUUCACUCCCACAAGGCAAGCCCUGCAUCGUGUUCCUCUCUGCUCACAAGCUCCCCAGCCAUUCCAGCUGCUGGGAACACCACAGCAGGUCUUUCAGAUGAGAAACGUAAUUUCUGUUCUGAAAAAGAUGGGGCAUCUUUGGAGAAGAGAAAACCACAGAGACGGGUUGUUCAUGUGUGUGAGGAGGGCUGCGGGGACCCUGAGAGGUGAGUGCUGGGACUUGGUGGGUUUUUCCGGGACCACACAGCCCAG